GACGAACGCUGGCGGCGUGCUUAACACAUGCAAGUCGAGCGGAGCGGCGAACGGGUGAGUAACGCGUGAGUAACUGCCCCCCUCUCUGGGAAAACAGUUGGAAACGGCUGCUCAUACCGGAUAGUGGGGGAUGACUCUCGGCCUAUCAGCUUGUUGGUGGGGUAGUGGCCUACCAAGGCGCCGACGGGUAGCCGGCCUGAGAGGGCGACCGGCCAAAUUGGGCUGAGAUACUGCCCAAACUCCUACGGUGGGCAGCAGUGGGGAAUAUGGCACAAUGGGGGAAACCCGGAUGCAGCAACGCCGCGUGUAUGAAGAAGGCCUUCGGGUUUUAAAGUACUUUCAGCGAGGAGGGGUUAAUAACCUUAGUGAUUGACGUUACUCGCAGAAGAAGCACCGGCUAACUCCGUGCCAGCAGCCGCGGUAAUAC
rnacentral:rRNA from 1 species